CGCAGCCGCGGUAAUUCCAGCUCCAAUCCCCCCCCCCAGCGUAUAUUAAAGUUGUUGCAGUUAAAAAGCUCGUAGUUGAAUUUCGGGGUUAGUAGGUUGGUCAUGCCUCUGGUAUGUACUGGUCUCACUGACUCCUCCUUCCUGAUGAGCCGUAAUGCCAUUAAUUUGGUGUUGCGGGGAAUUUGGACUGUUACUUUGAAAAAAUUAGAGUUAAGUUCAAAGCAUGCAACGCUUGAAAUACAUUAGCAUGGAAUAAUGAAAUAGGACGUUCGAUCCUAUUUUGUUGGUUUCUAGGAUUGACGUAAUGAUUAAUAGGGAUAGUUGGGGGCAUUAGUAUUCAAUUGUCAGAGGUGAAAUUCUUGGAUUUAUUGAAGACUAACUACUGCGAAAGCAUUUGCCAAGGAUGUUUUCAUUAAUCAAGAACGAAAGUUAGGGGAUCGAAGACGAUCAGAUACCGUCGUAGUCUUAACCAUAAACUAUGCCGACUAGGGAUCGGAUGAUGUUAAUUUUUUAAUGACUC
rnacentral:misc_RNA from 1 species